UCCCGCGGAGUUGCCAUGGUUACAGGCGCCACGCUCUGCGCGGGCCGGCGUGCGCUUCUGGGGCGGGUAGCGGGCUCCGGAAGUGUGCAGCUGCCCGGGACCAUGGCGGUGCUUGCUGCUGGGGAUGGCGGCUUGCUCGGCCGGGCGACUAGUUCUGGCCUGGUCAGUCGGCGGCCGACAUCCUGUCUGGGGCGGCGUCCCACAGACGGUAAACGUACCUUCUGUGUGACUUCAACCCUCCAGAGGGCUUCAACCUCCUUAGGAACGUCUGCAUCCACAUUGCCUUCCUCCUGAAGACCCUGCUGAAGAUGGAGGAGCCGGUACUGGUGCUAUUCCCUUGGGGCCACCUCUACCACUGGCAGAGCCCCGAUCCCUGGUCCGACUCCUUUGACCUCCCAAGUCUCAACAGAAACAUCCCUGACAUUGAGUACGAGCAGUUCGUUGCAGGCCUCUGAAUCCUCAGUCCAGGGAAGCUAAACCAUUCUAGCCUUCAUCGGUUCUGGGAAAGCAAUCUUCAGAGUGGGAAAAGACAUUGAAAAAUAAUAUUCUGUGAGUUGCAUUCUACCCUUGCCCAGAGAUGAGAAACAUCUGAAGGUGGAGGAAAACAGUUGGAGGGUUCACUUGGUGAUAAUAAUCAUAACCAAAGCAACAGCAAACCCUUACAGAACUCUGUCCUGCUGUUCCAGGAACGCUGUGUUCAUGACAACCCAAUGAGUUGGCACCACUAUGAGUUCCACUUUAAAGUGCCUGCCACCCUGGCCUCCCUGCUCAUCUGCCUCAGUCAGGAGCACCUGGACCACCAGCUCUGUAUUGCCUCGCCUCCUACCAUCAAGACGUCAAAGUUCAUUCUCCUUCCACCACCCAGUAUGGUCAUUGUAGGGUCUUCUUCUCUGUCAGCCUGAGCCAGCCACCCCCCAUUCACCCUACCCCCGGGCUCAUACCCGGGCGUGUCUCCACCCAAGGUCCAGCCUCUCUCCUUUAAGUGCCCACCUCUAGCCGUCCAGCUUCUUCUCCACCAGCCUCCCUGGCCCUCCUUCACCCUCACUGGGGCAUCAUGCGCUGACUCCUCUGCUUUCCUGCCUGUCCACGUUCCUCUUACUUCCACUUCCCCACCUUCCAGCUCUGCAUCCACAGUCAGCACUCUCUUUAUGACAGACAAAACCCCCUUGAGCCUUGACCUUUUCAGUUCCUCACCAGGCCGACUUCCAUCUCGGUUCACCCAGCUCUACUUGUUCUGAGCCUGCAGGCAGCAGGCUCUCCCAGCACAGAUUUCCAAGACUACAAAUCAAUGCCCACCAUGUUGCCGCUGCCAGGCAAUCCUCCAGGAUUUCUCUAGUGAGCACAUUUCCCCACUUAUCACUCAGUGGUGUCAACAUUCUCUGCUCUCUGCACACCUCUAACCUUCCCUCUGUCUCUUCCCUGACUCCCAGCAGAUGGCCUUGCCUCCUGCUUCAGAGAGAAUGACAUGUCACUGGAAAGGAACUGGCUCACCUGCAGCAAACCUGCUCACCUCACCUUUUAUCUGUCCCUCUCCCACCUGGACUCUAGCUGUAGUUGUUCUUAAUUCAGUGAGUUUAGUUGACAUAUAUAUACACACUUAAAAGCAUAGCACACUAUCGGCUACCUUCUAGGGGUUACUUUUUCAAUUUAACAUGGAGUGUGUGAUUCAUCCACUUCAUUGCAUGUACCUGCAGUUCAUUUGUUUUAACUGAUCUUAAAUGUUGUGUGUGUGAAAGUAACACAAGGCAAGGGUAAGCCAGGAUUCAGGAUGCUGGUUACUUCCUGUGAGAAAAGGCCAAGAGCAGGAUAGGGAAAGAGGACACAGUAUGUCACUGUCAAUAUUCCUGUUAUGAUGCUGGGUGAUAGGUUCAUAACUGUGUCUUAUAAUAUUAAUUUUAAUACAUAAAUACCUCUGACAGGCACCUAAGAUGAGAAUGUGUCAUGAACCAAGACAUACAAUGGGUAAUAUUACAUCAUUAUUGUUAUGUAAUCUUGUUAUAUUAUAUAUUAAUCAUAAUCUUACAUUAUUUGUUAUGGGUUAUAUAUUAUAUAGAUGCAUGAAUUAUAUAUUAUGUGUAUAAACACCUACAUAUGUAUUAUAUACUAUCUGCUAAUAAAUAAACAGAAGAUAAUAUGCUAGUAUAUCUUCUAUUAUGUAUUAUUUAAUAAAUAAUAACAUACUCUAUCCUGUUAUAUGACAUGGAACAUAAUCUUUAAUAAAAUAAGAAAUCUGUCAAUAUA